CAGCCGCCCGGUAAUACGGAGGGAGCUAGCGUUAUUCGGAAUUACUGGGCGUAAAGCGCACGUAGGCGGCUUUGUAAGUUAGAGGUGAAAGCCUGGUGCUCAACACCAGAACUGCCUUUGAUACUGCAUCGCUUGAAUCCAGGAGAGGUGAGUGGAAUUCCGAGUGUAGAGGUGAAAUUCGUAGAUAUUCGGAAGAACACCAGUGGCGAAGGCGGCUCACUGGACUGGUAUUGACGCUGAGGUGCGAAAGCGUGGGGAGCAGACAGGAUUAGAUACCCCCGUAGUCCCUGUCUCUUAUACA
rnacentral:rRNA from 1 species